rfam:Gossypium hirsutum cultivar TM-1 chromosome 12, whole genome shotgun sequence
GGGAUAUGAUGAGUGGUCAUUACUCGCAAGCGUUGCGAGAUGGGUGUCCGCCCCAAAGCCUGGUUACGACACUUGGGCACUCCCAUUUUUACCAUCUGAUCCC